ACAGUAGAAGCUGAGUGUGAAGACGAACGGAGGAGCCGUCUACACUAGGCUGAGAGUGAAGAUGAAGGGAGGAGAGGUCUACACUAAGCUGAGGGACUUUGGAACUUUAUUCCAGAAGCAAAUGAGCUGUAGGGAAUAUGAAUGAGAGAUGAUCACUUUUCUUUUGGAAAUCUCAAUUGGAAACUGGAAGAGACAGAAGCAAGCUGACUUCAUUACAGGGUCCCCAGUAGUGAUUGUGUGGGACGUACACAGCAGAGCAUUUUGACACAGUUUGGAUUCAGCGACUAGUUGUGGUAAAGGUGCAAGAGUCUGUCUCCACUACCUAGUCUCCUCUUAAAGCUGACUACAGGUAAUUACAUUAUGUCAAAUCACUGCUUAGAUUUCAGAGCCCAUGCUGCAGCUUUGCCCAGAGGAAAGUGGUGUAUUUCAUAAAUAAACAGAUUAAAAGGAGGACUGUUAUUCUAAAGCAAAUAUGCCAACUUUAUGGUUGAAAAGUAAUAAAUUGAAAUAUGUCAAAGUCUAAGUUGACAAUUUAAAAAGCCUAUGCCUAGAAUAUUCCAUCUCUACAAAUCAGCUUUGUUCAGGGACUCAAGAGGAACCAGACUAAAUUGAAAAACAUGUUUCAGUCUUAUUAUCCUCCGGACUGAUACAUCCAGAAGUGGAACUGUUAGAUCAUAUGGUGGGCCUAUUUUUAAUUUUUUAAGGAGACUCUGUGCCGGGUUCCAUAAUGGCAGCACCAGUUAGGAUACAUGUUUGUUUUUCACUCAUGUAAUGGUUGCUGGAUAAAUGAUCUUCCAUGUGUUUUAGGAACCCAGAUUCUUUCUGCCUGGUGGCUUCACCAUCCCUAGGAACUCAAAGUCCUUUGCUGGAUCCCUGUAUCCAUCCAGGAGAUGAGGAAGAAGGUGCAUGUUAAGGAUCAUUGAGAGGAUUCUGACGCCAGGCUCAAAAAUAAUUUGCAUUUAUUUUGUCCUUAUUUAAUUGGCCAGAUCCAGUUGUUUGUUCCUGUCCUCUGUCUUGCAGUUUUCAGGGGCUGGAAAAUACAGACACUACACUGCCCAAGGAAACAGAGACUUCCUUAACACUGCAUCCUCAAUGUCCAGAAGAGUGAUAAGUGUUAGAAGAAAUGGAAAUAUUUGCUAAGUGAAUGUUUUAAUGAGUUGAUGAGUGUGUGAAUGAAUGAAUGAAUGAAUUAGUCAGUCUAUGUCAGUACAGCAGGAAAAAUCAUGUCAAAGCAGGAAGUAGUAAGCAAUGGAGGUCUUGGUGAUAUUAAAAUCAAUGCUGACAAGUUUAACUAGAAGUAAGACAAAAGUACUAGAGCAGAUGCUUCUUUGGUCAUGUAGAGGAACAUGAGAGAGUUUGAGGAUCCACUUAAGUAUAUACCAUUUUUGAGGACAAAGUUUCAGGUAAUAUAAUGAGGUUAUGCAUUCAAUAUUAUAUAGCAUACAGAAUUUUAAAAAACUGUCUUUUUAUUGGAAUGGGAUAUUG